rnacentral:rRNA from 1 species
GAACGCCGUAGCAAUACGGAGUGGCAGACGGGUGAGUAACGCGUGGGAACAUACCCCUCGGUUCGGAAUAACUCAGGGAAACUUGAGCUAAUACCGGAUACGUCCAAGGUUUUAAUCGACCUUGGAGAAAGAUUUAUCGCCGGGGGAUUGGCCCGCGUCUGAUUAGCUUGUUGGUGAGGUAAUGGCUCACCAAGGCGACGAUCAGUAGCUGGUCUGAGAGGAUGAUCAGCCACAUUGGGACUGAGACACGGCCCAGACUCCUACGGGAGGCAGCAGUGGGGAAUAUUGGACAAUGGGCGAAAGCCUGAUCCAGCCAUGCCGCGUGAGUGAUGAAGGCCUUAGGGUUGUAAAGCUCUUUUACCCGGGAAGAUAAUGACGGUACCGGGAGAAUAAGCCCCGGCUAACUUCGUGCCAGCAGCCGCGGUAAUACGAAGGGGGCUAGCGUUGUUCGGAAUUACUGGGCGUAAAGCGCACGUAGGCGGAUCCUUAAGUCAUGGGUGAAAUCCCGAGGCUCAACCUCGGAACUGCCUUUGAUACUGGGGAUAUCGAGUCCGGGAGAGGUGAGUGGAACUGCGAGUGUAGAGGUGAAAUUCGUAGAUAUUCGCAAGAACACCAGUGGCGAAGGCGGCUCACUGGCCCGGUACUGACGCUGAGGUGCGAAAGCGUGGGGA